AAGUCGUAACAAGGUCUCCGUUGGUGAACCAGCGGAGGGAUCAUUAGCGAGUUAAUUACAAACUCCAAACCCAUGUGAACAUACCUACUGUUGCCUCGGCAGGCCGUGCUGCGCGGCUGGAUCGCCUCCCCCGCGUGGGCAGCUACCCUGGAGUAGCUACCCUGUAGCGGGAGCGGCCCGCCCCGCGGCGCGCCAACAGGCCUGCCGAAGGACCCCUAAACUCUGUUUCGCACCUGUAUCUCUGAGUCUAUUAUACAAAUAAGUUAAAACUUUCAACAACGGAUCUCUUGGUUCUG
rnacentral:misc_RNA from 1 species